AUGGACCCGCUGAUUCGAUCCAAAGUGAUGAUGGUAGUAAAGAUUACAAAGAAAUUAAUCAAGUGGUGGAAAAUGUUUUCAUCGUUAGAACAUCAUGAGUUAAUGCAUAAAUUGGGCAUCUCUCACUUCCCUUCCUGAUAUCACACCCCGCCCAGACUUAGUGGAGGCGAUGAUGACUUAUUGGGAUCCGCAAAAUUUGACUUUUAAAUUUGGAAGAGUGUGAGAUGACUCCUACCUUGGCGGAAAUGUCUGGUCUCACUCGUUUAAGCUAUAUAGGUAGGGACAUGAUACUUCCCCGAGACCACUCUAGGACAAGAUUCCUCAGUGACCUGGGCCUGAAAUAUAACAAGCGUUUAAAAUGGCUCGAGCAGUCCUGGAUAUCCUUGGAUUAUUUGUUUGCUAGGUUUGGACCACGGGAUAGUUUUGACGUCUUUUGGGAUGAGUUCUGCGCAACCAAAGAAAAAUGGCAAAGAUGCCGCCUUGAGGCUUUCAGCCUUGCUUUGAUGGGAUUGUUGGUUUUUCAAUUAGAUGAGAGGCACAUUAGCACCCGCCUGCAGUUAGUGGUAAUGGAACUAUUUCAUGAGAAGCAACAUAAAACCGUUACCGUUGUACAUAUGAUCUUAGCAGAGUUGUACCGAUAACCAUUCUAGGACAAUAUUCCUCAGUGAUCUGGGCCUGAAAUAUAACAAGCAUUUAAAGUGCCUCGAGCAGUCCUGGGUAUCCUUGGAUUUUUUUUUGCUUGAUUUGGACCACGGGAUAGUUUUGACGUCUUUUGGGAUGAGUUUUGCACAACCAAGAAAAAAUGGAAAAGACGCCGCCUUGAAGCGUUCAACCUUGCUUUGUUGGGAUUAUUGGUUUUACAUUAGCACCCACCUGCAGUCAGUGGUAAUGGAACUAAUUCAUGAGAAGCAGCAUAAGACCAUUACCUGUACAGAUGAUCUUAGCAGAGUUGUACCGAGCCCUGAGUGAGGUUAGGGGAGGUGUCAGAUAUUUUGAGGGAAGUAACCUUUUGCUACAAUUGUAGAUGAUGGAGCAUUUGCACACUGCUUCCUUACUUUGUCCCAUCGACCGUGAUUUGAGGGAUCGGGUGGUGUGCAUCAAUCGUAGGAUGAAGUCUCCUAAGUUUACAUACCCAGUAUGCGUCACAUCUUGGAUUGAGUUCCUUGGUUUGAGGACAAAUGGGAAUGUUUUGUGGGCUUACCUUUGGCUACCUUUAGAUGAGAUCUUGGUAGGAUGUCUCGUGCAGCCUUUCUUGAUACUGAUAGGACUCAAGUGUGUCAGGUUGUACACUCCUAUUAGGGUAAUGCGACAGUUAGGCAGAAGACAAGAGGAGCCUCCAACUUUGAAUCUUCGAAGGCACGUCAUGAACUUUAGCAAAAAUGCAGCUG
rnacentral:lncRNA from 1 species